GCACCACAACCCCGCCGCUUACCUGGCGGCCGCCGGUGCGCUCCCUCAGGCAGCCGGGGCUGCGCCUGCCGCCCCCUCCACGGCCCCCCCUCGAGGUGGGCAGCGGCCGGGGCGCCGUGACAUCCGAGCGGGGCGCUGCGAGGGGUCGCGCCGGCCCCCGGCAGGGCGCCAGCCCGGUCACCGCCCUCCUGUGGGCGGCGGGCAGGCUGAGGCGGGGGGCGACGCCCGCUCCAUCGCCGGCAGGGCCGGCCGCAAGCGAGCUUCCGCGGCUCCUCUCCUCACUGCGGAGAGACGAUGGGGGGGAGGCAGCCUUAAAGGGGGAGCGGUGGGGGCGAGGGCUGGCCGGCUAGCCCCCUCGGCACGGCACGGCACGGCACGGCUCGGCUCGGCACGGCUCGGCUCGGCGGGGACGGGUGAGGCGAGGCAGCAGCGCGGGGAGGCAGCGCCGCCAGCUCGAGGUGGCCGUGGCCGGAGUCCCCGAGCUGGUGCCGAGGAGAGGAUGGAGGCCAAGUCGGUGCCGUCGGGGCGCCCCCCGCCGCCUGCCGUCAGCCCCCGGGGGCGCUGGUGCCUGGCUCCCGGAGCUCGGCACCUCGCCUUCGGCCUUUUCCUGCAUGCUCUGAAAUAGCGGCGUUUAACGCGACUCAAAAUCGAGGAUGUGGAGUGGCAGGUUCCCGAAAUGUACAGGUACAUUGUGGAUAUGGAUACCACAAGAGCGCCAUCAGUUAGAGCAAAAUAUAUGAUUCCAGAUUUGAUAGCCUGAGGGAAGUGAAGCUGCUGCAAUCCCAUACCCCCAGGUCCAACCAGCAGGAUGUCUGAAGGUGUUAUUUUCAGCAGGAACAUGCACAGAGCUUACACAUAUACAGCACAUGUAUACAUGGCCAACUGCACAGAUCACAGGCAGACACUGAGAGCACUCACACAAACACAGCACCAAUGGCCUCAUCCUGUUCGCUCUCUGUGUGAGCAGGACAGAGGUUUACUAAGAAAA
rnacentral:lncRNA from 1 species